rnacentral:rRNA from 2 species
UCUGGCGGCUUUAGCGCGGUGGUCCCACCUGACCCCAUGCCGAACUCAGAAGUGAAACGCCGUAGCGCCGAUGGUAGUGUGGGGUCUCCCCA